rnacentral:tRNA from 1 species
GGCUCCAUGGUCUAGUGUUUAUGACAUUGGAAUCUGAAUCCAAGAGCUUGAGUUGUAAUCUCGAUGAAACCU